AAAAAUACAAAUAAAAUGGCACAUGGAGUGGUGGAUUCUGAAAGGUGUCACGUCUGACCAACACUUUGACGAAAGCUAAAGAUGAAUUAUUUCCUUCUUCCCCAAAACUCAAUAUGCUAAAGAAGUUUAUAUGUUUGUGUGUGUAGGUCUAUGGAUUAGCUUUGUGACAUGCUCCUCAGAUAUUAAAACAUAAACUUGUGGUUUCAUUUUGUAUCUACUGGGGAUAUGGAGAAUAAUGGUCAGUUGGUGACUUUGCGGUUUUUCCGAAGACAGUAAAUUUUUUACGCCUCCGUCUGUGGUUCCUGCUGUCAAUUACGGACAACCCGGUUUGCUUGGUUCUCCUUCGGAAUAGCAGAUUUGCAACUCUUCCUUAUGUCCAUCGAAACUGAGGCUCAAUCGAGCUUAGCGUCCGUCCAAGUCGAAGAUGAGCUGAGAAACCGCCAUCUGGGUGAAGCUGUGGUGGUUCGAGGUUGGAGCCGCCAUGGACAAAAGCUCGAAGAAUUAUAAAUUUUUGCAUUCCUUGAACUUUUGUAUGUCUUCGUUUCUGCCCCAUUCAUUUCAAAUGUGCAGAUUUCUCUUUGAUUUGACUUCGAACUUUUCAAUUAUACACUCUAGACCCUGCUUUCAUGCAAUUAUGUAUGAAAAUACAAAAUAAAUAUGUGUGUCCACAACUUAUAUGUAAUUUAUGUGUUCACAAUGCAUUAGCCCAAAUUAUUUCUUUAUCUAUCCACAACAUAUAUAUCUACAUAUUCUCUGUCCACAGAGC
rnacentral:lncRNA from 1 species